AGCUAUGUUAUUAUUUGCUUUUCGUCUUCUUCUCUAAUUUUACGCAAAAACUAGAUUCACGCUUUUAGAUUUGGACUGAUAAAGAGCAACCACAUAUACCACAUUGCAAAGACUCUGUGCAUGAAAAGUAAAUUUCAGAAACUUAACGAGCUGGUCCAAGAUCUAAGGAGGCAGUUGCCGCAAUGCAGAAAUGAAAAUCAGGUUGAGUUGACGAAGCUAGAAACUGAGCUUGAUCAGCUGCUGUUAAGAGGUGUUCAGUCCAUUUUUACAGGUACAUUGUUUUCUCCUAGUACAUGUGGUUGAUUUCUUCUAACAUAUUAAAACUACUGUAAAGUGACUCAUGAUUGAAAGCAUUCAUCGACUUAACAGUUACUAUUGAUAAAUUUUGGGAUUACCUAUUAAUUUAGGUUUUAGAUAUGGUGGAUGGCUAGAAUCAAUUUGAUGCAGUAGGAGAUAUUGGAUAUGAAUCUCAUUGUUAGAUGAUCAGCUGCUACAUUCAUCAUGUUUCACGAGUGCUUUGCUUGCUGUCUCGACCCUCGACCCUUUACUUUAGAGAUUUCAAUAGAUCAGAAGAGAGUUAAGAGGUAGUUGACAACUUUUAUAAGCUAGCCAGAGAUAUAAUCAAGGUUGAUGCGUUCAACAGAGGAUAUCAUCUUUGGAACAAAUUAGAGCUCAUGGUAAAAUCUUCAUUUUUUGGUUAUGGAUCAUCAACUAUAUGUUUGGUUUUUUUUUGUAAGUGUGUAGCAUUACAAAGGUGCCCAAUUAGCCGAUCACAUAUAAGCCAUAUAUAGCUGCUUCUUUCUGUGAUUGGUCAGUAUGUCACCAAUAUAAGUAUCUUGUUGGUAGCCUUUUCUGAAUGUGUGCAAAUUUGCGUUCUCUUUUCUUAGCUAUUAACUGUACACAGUACACAUUAAAGUACUCAUUUUUACUCUCAUUAUGAGCCACAUUCUCUUCAGCUAGUAAGUAGUUCCGAAGAAUUUGUUUCUCUAUA